rnacentral:rRNA from 1 species
ACGGGUGAGUAAUGCCUGGGGAUCUGCCCAGUCGAGGGGGAUAACAGUUGGAAACGACUGCUAAUACCGCAUACGCCCUACGGGGGAAAGGAGGGGACCUUCGGGCCUUUCGCGAUUGGAUGAACCCAGGUGGGAUUAGCUAGUUGGUGGGGUAAUGGCUCACCAAGGCGACGAUCCCUAGCUGGUCUGAGAGGAUGAUCAGCCACACUGGAACUGAGACACGGUCCAGACUCCUACGGGAGGCAGCAGUGGGGAAUAUUGCACAAUGGGGGAAACCCUGAUGCAGCCAUGCCGCGUGUGUGAAGAAGGCCUUCGGGUUGUAAAGCACUUUCAGCGAGGAGGAAAGGUUGUUGGCUAAUACCCAGCAACUGUGACGUUACUCGCAGAAGAAGCACCGGCUAACUCCGUGCC